CAGCAGGAAGCAAAGACCUGGUUCUAUCUUUCAUGCUGCCAGUGGUAAGCACACAGGAGCCUCGUCCUAAUGAAAACUACCAUGGUAGGCAAUAACCGCUUUGUUUUGCAGAACGUACGGCGAAUGCAAGCAGACAGACCCAAGAGAAAACAGCCGAGCUGCAAAAUAGAUCAUUGUUUUCCGUUAGGACACCCUGACCGACAGGCCACGAUCAAGCGUAAUGGAGAGAUGCAAGCAUUGGCACCUGCCCUCUCAAGCCGGAUUUUUCAAGCCCAGCAUGGUGCACCUCUAUUGUUGGCACAUCAGUGCCAACAGUAGAGGCAUUAGGAGAUGAGGACAGGCCAGUGCUAUAAUUCUUCCCAGUCCAUUAGCUGUAAUUAGGGUUCUGCGUUCUCAGAUAAACCUGAUAAACUCCAAAAAACACUAGCCGUUAAAAUUUUGCUGAUUCAGAUUCAUUUGAAAAACUCAAUUUUUCGGUCCCCCACCAGUCUUUAUAUUUCCCGGAAUCUUCGAACAAUUUUUGCAAUUCUCCUCUUAUUGCAGUGUCAACUUCCGUUGCCAUGUAGCCCCUUAUAAUAAAAAUGAGGUAGGCCCUCUACGACAGUAGAUGAAUACGGCGCUCUCAUAUGAAAAUACUGCUUUACUAAAUUCACAAAGUGCUGUUUUCUACCUUUCAUUUGCCUCAUCGAAAAUGCCGAAAGACUCCGAACUUUGCGUACAUAAAUGGAAGCUCCAAAUUGAUGGUUCAAAAAAACAAAA
rnacentral:lncRNA from 1 species